GAUGAACGCUGGCGGCGUGCCUAAUACAUGCAAGUCGAGCGAACGGACGAGAAGCUUGCUUCUCUGAUGUUAGCGGCGGACGGGUGAGUAACACGUGGAUAACCUACCUAUAAGACUGGGAUAACUUCGGGAAACCGGAGCUAAUACCGGAUAAUAUUUUGAACCGCAUGGUUCAAAAGUGAAGGACGGUCUUGCUGUCACUUAUAGAUGGAUCCGCGCUGCAUUAGCUAGUUGGUAAGGUAACGGCUUACCAAGGCAACGACGCAUAGCCGACCUGAGAGGGUGAUCGGCCACACUGGAACUGAGACACGGUCCAGACUCCUACGGGAGGCAGCAGUAGGGAAUCUUCCGCAAUGGGCGAAAGCCUGACGGAGCAACGCCGCGUGAGUGAUGAAGGUCUUCGGAUCGUAAAACUCUGUUAUUAGGGAAGAACAUAUGUGUAAGUAACUGUGCACAUCUUGACGGUACCUAAUCAGAAAGCCACGGCUAACUACGUG
rnacentral:rRNA from 1 species